UUUGAACUUGAGAUGUAAAGAGAGGAAUGGAACCAGGAGAUAUACAGAAAGAAGGCAGAACGCAGAAGCCUUGAGAUCCGAGGGACACAACUAGAACCUACAGGGAAACCUUGAGGAAAAUGUUCAUUUUCUAAAGAAGAAUGACAGAUGCUGAGGGCAGAGGUCGCAAGGAGAGAAACACCAUCAAUCUAACCACAUAUUUCUGUACCAUAUAUCUGGACUAAAACAUUAAGGUGUUA